rnacentral:rRNA from 1 species
AUUGAACGCUGGCGGCAUGCCUUACACAUGCAAGUCGAACGGUAACGGGCCUUCGGGUGCUGCCGAGUGGCGAACGGGUGAGUAAUACAUCGGAACGUGCCCGAUCGUGGGGGAUAACGCGGCGAAAGCUUUGCUAAUACCGCAUACGAUCUACGGAUGACAGUAGGGGCACGCAAGGCCAUGCGAGGACGGAGCGGCUGAUGGCAGAUUAGGUAGUUGUUGGGCUAAAAGCUUACCAAGCCGACGAGCUGUAGCUGGUCUGAGAGGAUGAUCAGCCACACUGGGACUGGAACACGGCCCGGACUCCUACGGGAGGCAGCAGUGGGGAAUUUUGGACAAUGGGCGCAAGCCUGAUCCAGCCAUGCCGCGUGCAGGAUGAAGGCCUUCGGGUUGUAAACUGCUUUUGUACGGAACGAUAAGCCUUCUUUUAAUACAGGAGGGUCAUGACGGUACCGUAAGAAUAAGCACCGGCUAACUACGUG